CAGCAGCCACGGUAAUACGAAGGGUGCAAGCGUUAAUCGGAAUUACUGGGCGUAAAGCGUGCGUAGGCGGUGAGUUAAGUCUGCUGUGAAAUCCCCGGGCUCGACCUGGGAAUGGCAGUGGAUACUGGCUCGCUAGAGUGUGUCAGAGGAUGGUGGAAUUCCCGGUGUAGCGGUGAAAUGCGUAGAGAUCGGGAGGAACAUCAGUGGCGAAGGCGGCCAUCUGGGACAACACUGACGCUGAGGCACGAAAGCGUGGGGAGCAAACAGGAUUAGAUACCCGAGUAGUCCCUGUCUCUUAUAC
rnacentral:rRNA from 1 species